UACGUAGGGGGCUAGCGUUGUCCGGAUUUAUUGGGCGUAAAGAGCGUGUAGGCGGCCAGGUAGGUCUGCUGUGAAAAUUCGAGGCUCAACCUCGAGACGUCGGCGGAAACCAUCUGGCUAGAGUCCGGAAGAGGAGAGUGGAAUUCCUGGUGUAGCGGUGAAAUGCGCAGAUAUCAGGAAGAACACCCGUGGCGAAGGCAGCUUACUACGCCUAUAUUGACGCUGAGGCACGAAAGCGUGGGGAUCAAACAGG
rnacentral:rRNA from 1 species